UUUUUCCAUUAAAGUUUUCAAAGGCAUUCCUAUAACCCUAUUGAGUAUUUUAAGUAAAUUGUGCAAAAGAUGUAACCUUAAACUCUAAUUGCUUCCGUUAAAUUACAAGUUUCAGUAUUGUUUAUUUCACUAUUUUUGAGUUAUACGCCCAGAAUCCUAGUAGGGGGUUUGGGCUUUUACAGUUGAUAUCAAAGCCAGGUUUCUCAGAACCAUUCC
rnacentral:lncRNA from 1 species